AUUUUUUGGAAAAUGGCAUUUAAGUAGCGUUCCUUCACACUCAGCUGGAAAAUCCUAACAGGCGGAAGUAAAGGACGCUUUCAUCAAGCACUAAGCCAUUCUGUUCUACUUCUCCACUGCAGGAGCAGGAUGGCAGAUGAGCCAGCACAAAGCCUGUGUGUGUAUAUGGCAUGACGUUAACAUUCAGAACACAGUGAAUGAAACAGACGAACAUUCACACACUUCGCUCACACACUUAGCAAUGAAACAUCAUCCCUCACUUCCUCCGUGGCAUGAAGGCAUCUGUCAUGGCAUAGGGAUGAGCGAAUCUUCUAAUGGACA